rnacentral:misc_RNA from 1 species
CGCAUAUUGCGCCCUCUGGUAUUCCGGAGGGCAUGCCUGUUCGAGCGUCAGUACAACCAAAACAAGCUCCGCUUGGUAUUGGACCCUCAAUUCGCGAGAGAGACGGUUAACAGCCUUGUCAUUUUUCGCGGGUUUGAAAGGUAGUGGCGGCCCCUGUUCGGCUUCAAGCGCAGUUGGAAAAUUACAAAUCUUUCUCGCUUUGGAGGACUGAAUGGGGUGAAUUCUGUCUUAAAAUUAUCAUAUAAUUCAAGGUGGACCUCGGAUCAGGUAGGAAUACCCGCUGAACUUAA